UGGGGAGUAUUGCACAAUGGGCGAAAGCCUGAUGCAGCAACGCCGCGUGGGUGAAGAAGGCUCUUGGGUCGUAAAGCCCUUUCGGCAGGAAAGAAGGAGCUAUGAGCUAAUAUUUCAUAGUUUUGACGGUACCUGAAGAAGAAGCACCGGCUAAUUUCGUGCCAGCAGCCGCGGUAAUACGAAAGGUGCAAGCGUUGUUCGGAAUUAUUGGGCGUAAAGCGCGCGUAGGUGGGAUUGUAAGUCGAUUGUGAAAUCCCCGGGCUCAACCUGGGAAUUGCCAUCGAAACUGCUAUUCUUGAAUACCUGAGAGGGUGGGAGAAUUCCUGGUGGAGAAGUGAAAUUCGUAGAGAUCAGGAGGAAUACCGGAGGCGAAGGCGCCUGCCUGGCAGUGUAUUGACGCUGAAGUGCGAAAGCGUGGGGAGCAAACAGG
rnacentral:rRNA from 1 species